AAAACGACUCUCGGCAACGGAUAUCUCGGCUCUCGCAUCGAUGAAGAACGCAGCGAAAUGCGAUACUUGGUGUGAAUUGCAGGAUCCCGCGAACCAUCGAGUYUUUGAACGCAAGUUGCGCCCGAAGCCUUCUGGCCGAGGGCACGUCUGCCUGGGUGUCACUC
rnacentral:rRNA from 1 species